rnacentral:rRNA from 1 species
UACGUAGGGGGCAAGCGUUGUCCGGAUUUAUUGGGCGUAAAGAGCUCGUAGGCGGCUCGGUAAGUCGGGUGUGAAACCUCCAGGCUCAACCUGGAGACGCCACUCGAUACUGCCGUGGCUAGAGUCCGGUAGAGGAGCGUAGAAUUCCUGGUGUAGCGGUGAAAUGCGCAGAUAUCAGGAGGAAUACCAGCGGCGAAGGCGGCGCUCUGGGCCGGUACUGACGCUGAGGAGCGAAAGCGUGGGGAGCAAACAGG